CUUUAACAAUGUGACCCCUGGAUAAUGAGGUAAUGUUUGUGUUUCCUACUAUUUUUAAGCCUAAAUCUAAGGGCCUAAUCUAGGUUUAAAAUUAAGCACUACAUGAUUAAAAAAUCCAGAUUUGAUACAUGUGGAGAAUUUAAGCAAGAAAAUAUGACACUAUAGCCUAUAAUAAAAUAUAACUGUGGCAAGUGGGGCGGGGCCGAGAACCAUGGGAACGGAGCAAGGCCAGUGGAGUAAAUGAUAAUGAACGCCACCUGCACCACUCACCGGUCGAGUCCCACGGAGGAGCUCUGGAAGGAUAAAAGGAGGAGUAAUGGCAGUGAAGGACGAGAGAGGACUAUGCCUGUUGUUGUUUUAUUAUGUUUUAUGCGGCAGUCGUCCAUGAGGGGCUGCCACUUUUACUUUCUUUUGGUGUUUGUUUAUUUAUUUAUUAAAGUUUUAUGUGUAAAUGUUCGCCGGUUCCCGCCUCCUUCCCAAUCUACGAACAUUGUUACAUUGGUGCCGAAACCCGGGAGGAAGGAGGGACUGAGAUUGAGCAGAGAAGGAGCAGGGACCACCGGUGGCUGCCCAAGGUGGUGGUGCUGGAGCGUUGGAAGACGAGGUGGGACGAAGAGCUUGCUGGGUCGUGGAGAGGUGGCUGCCGUCCAAGAGGGAGCGGAGGAGUAGGCUGGAGCCUGCUGCCAUCUGCCAUGAGGAGGAGCAGGAAAUGGGGGACUUGCUGCCAGCUGCUCUCAACAGGAGGAGUCAUCGCUGUCUGCCAGGAGGCGGAGGAGCAUUGAGCCGUCCAACAAAGAUGUCCAGUACCAUCGCAUGGCACCGCAAGUACACUGCGGCCGCCGUGAUCAGGUCCCCCAGAGGGGGAGAGCAGAGUGCAGUUUCGUGGUUACCCCCCAGCCUUUGAGGGGUGAUGGGGAUAUGUAGUGAUGUUACGUUCUGUGCCAAGGCUUCGGAGCGUGUGUCGAGAAAUCUCGGCAGCUUUCAGUGAAGCACGUAUCGACGCUUGUAUUGCUUUAUAGCAGUGGUUCCCAAUCCUGGUCCUGGAGAACCCCCAACACUGCACGUUUUUGGUUUCUCUCUUAUCUGACACACACAUUUGUGGUCUUGGAGUCUUUACUAAUGAGCUGAUGAGUUGAAUCAGGUGUGUUUGAAUAGGGAGACAUCUAAAAU
ensembl:lncRNA